rnacentral:tRNA from 1 species
AAGGCUUUAAGUUAACCAAACUAAUAGCCUUCAAAGCUAUAAAUAAAAAACUGAUUUUUAAGCCUUA